UACGUAGGGGGCAAGCGUUGUCCGGAAUCAUUGGGCGUAAAGCGCGUGUAGGCGGCUCGGUAAGUCUGCUCUGAAAGCCCGGGGCUCAACCCUGGGAGGCGGGUAGAUACUGCUGAGCUCGAGUCCGGAAGAGGCGAGUGGAAUUCCUGGUGUAGCGGUGAAAUGCGCAGAUAUCAGGAGGAACACCAAUGGCGAAGGCAGCUCGCUGGGACGGUACUGACGCUGAGACGCGAAAGCGUGGGGAGCAAACAGG
rnacentral:rRNA from 1 species